UACGUAGGGUGCGAGCGUUAAUCGGAAUUACUGGGCGUAAAGCGUGCGCAGGCGGUUUCGUAAGACAGAUGUGAAAUCCCCGGGCUUAACCUGGGAACUGCGUUUGUGACUGCGAGACUCGAGUGUGGCAGAGGGGGGUGGAAUUCCACGUGUAGCAGUGAAAUGCGUAGAGAUGUGGAGGAACACCGAUGGCGAAGGCAGCCCCCUGGGUUGACACUGACGCUCAUGCACGAAAGCGUGGGUAGCAAACAGG
rnacentral:rRNA from 1 species